UACGUAGGUGGCAAGCGUUGUCCGGAAUUAUUGGGCGUAAAGCGCACGUAGGCGGCCCAGCAAGCGGGGAGUGAAAGCCCUCGGCUUAACCGAGGAAGUGCUUUCCGAACUACUGGGCUUGAAUACUGGAGAGGGUCGCGGAAUUCCCGGUGUAGAGGUGAAAUUCGUAGAUAUCGGGAGGAACACCAGUGGCGAAGGCGGCGACCUGGACAGAUAUUGACGCUGAGGUGCGAAAGCGUGGGGAGCAAACAGG
rnacentral:rRNA from 1 species